ensembl:miRNA
GGGGGCGGGGGGGGACGGCGUUCCGCCUCGGCCGGCGCCUAGCAGCUGACUUAGAACUGGUGCGGACCAGGGGAAUCCGACUGUUUAAUU